GUACACUCCUGCGGGAGGCAGCAGUGGGGAAUAUUGGACAAUGGGCGCAAGCCUGAUCCAGCCAUGCCGCGUGAGUGAUGAAGGCCCUAGGGUUGUAAAGCUCUUUCACCGGUGAAGAUAAUGACGGUAACCGGAGAAGAAGCCCCGGCUAACUUCGUGCCAGCAGCCGCGGUAAUACGAAGGGGGCUAGCGUUGUUCGGAUUUACUGGGCGUAAAGCGCACGUAGGCGGACUAUUAAGUCAGGGGUGAAAUCCCGGGGCUCAACCCCGGAACUGCCUUUGAUACUGGUAGUCUUGAGUUCGAGAGAGGUGAGUGGAAUUCCGAGUGUAGAGGUGAAAUUCGUAGAUAUUCGGAGGAACACCAGUGGCGAAGGCGGCUCACUGGCUCGAUACUGACGCUGAGGUGCGAAAGCGUGGGGGGCAAACAGGAUUAGAAACCCUAGUAGUCCCA
rnacentral:rRNA from 1 species